UCAGACAGCUUGGUUUGGGUCAUUCUUGAGGUCCAGAAUGAACAUGUUGUUUAAAGUGAUAUUGCUCUGGACACUUGUCUACAUCCAAGAAUGCAGGGGGCAGUACACAGUGACUCAGACUCCAUCCGUAUUACCUGCUGUUGCUGGACAAACAGUCACUCUGAACUGUAAAGUCAGCAGUAAUGUUUAUAGCAACUAUCUGCACUGGUACCAUCAGGUAUCUGGAGAGCCUCCUAAACUCCUGAUUUACCGUGUUAGCACUCUCCAGUCAGGCACUCCAUCUCGAUUCAGUGGCAGUGGAUCUGGAAGUGCUUUCACUCUGACCAUCAGUGGAGUCCAGACUGAAGAUGCAGGAGAUUACUACUGUCAGAGUUUACAUAUCCCAAGCGGUUAUGUGUUCACACAGUGAUACAGAGCCGUACAAAAACCUCCCUCUGUGAGAAUACACAUGACUGCACUGCUGCAGCAGAGACUUUCAGCAGG